ensembl:misc_RNA Metazoa_SRP Metazoan signal recognition particle RNA
ACCACGAUGGCACAUGUCUGUAGUCCCAGCUACUCCGGAGGUUGAGGUGGGAGUAUCGCUUGAGACCAAGAGUUCUGGGCUGUAGAGCGCUAGGCUGAUAGGGUGUCUAUCCUAAGUUUGGCAUCAAUGUGUUGAUCUCCUGAGAGUGAUGGACCACCAGUUUGCUGAAGAAGAGCUGAACCAGCCCAGGUUGAGAAUAGAGCACAUCAAAACUCCUGUGCUGAUCAGUAGUGGAAUUGUGCUUUUGAAUAGCCACUGUACUCAAGCCAGAGCUACAUAGUGAGACUUGGUCUCUA